AAGCAACACUCUGUGCCAGAUGAUCAAAGCUGUCUGACACAAUUUGAGCUUGCUAUAGCAUGAAAGUCUAACCUAUUCCGGUGUUCUCCCCUCCAUGAGACGAGCCGUUAUCUAGACUUCAACAGC